GAGAUUCUGGGGUCCAAGCUCAGCACCCCCUCCCAUGGAACAUCCUGCUGCAUCUCAGCCACACAUCUAGAGGGCAGGCGGCAGGAGGAAGCCCCUUCAGGAUGACACAGCCCCCCAUGGGGCCUCUGGCUUGUCUUCUAUGGAAGAGUUGCUCCCCUGACCUGAGAGCCAGAAAAUUACACUCGAGCAGCCGGCUCGGGGACCUCCGGGACCCUGGUGACCGCAGCAGGCCCAGCACCAGCAUUCAUCAGCUACUCCCAGCACACACUCCAGGUGCUGGACCACAGCGGUGAAGGACCUGCGGCCUCCACAGCAAGCUCUCCCGGAUUGGCCUGCGACUCCGGGAGCACUGGGUCGCGUCCUACAGUUCUCAGAAUCUCCCAGCCAGGGCCUGCGUGCGGGGCGUGCCCGGCUGGUUCUGUUGACCGAGGGUCAGCACGCAGGUGGGCAGGUGGCUUCCCAGCACCAAGAAGAGGACCUGGCCUGUGGGUCCUUCUGAGAGGCUGCCCUCAAGAGCAGGUAUGAGAGUGAGUGAGUGCACAGCCUGAAUCCGGCUCAAUGAAGACAAAGAUGAUGGUGAGAAAAGUGUCCAUGAGCCCUUGGAGAAAACCCUCUCCAGCAAGAGGGACACCUUAGCCACCUGUGGCCUGGCCCGGAUCACCUGAGCAGGCCACUGCCAGAGGCCGCGCGGGAGAGGACACGGCUGGCCUGGGCCCCACAGCCCUGCUGGGCGGCAGAGCUCCGGGUCACGGGCCUCACCAAGGUGGACAGAGACCGUCUUCCAGCAGACAGACCUGGUCCAGAUGACCCGAGCAACUGGGUGCUAGUGCAAGCGUUACAGGAGGGAAUGGGGGUGCGGAGCCCUGUGCGCCAGAAACCUUACAGAACCAGCUCCCGGGGGCCUGCGGAUUCACCCCAAAGCCAAUGAGGCCCUCCUGACCCAAGGGGAAAUGGAGAAACUGAGGCAGGACGGAGCUGACUCCAACCACCCCCUACUUCUCUCUCUGUCUCUCUCACACAUACACCACACACAGCACUCCCUCACACACACA
rnacentral:lncRNA from 1 species